GAUGAACGCUGGCGGCGUGCCUAACACAUGCAAGUCGAGCGAGAAGCCAUAAAAGGACACUUCGGUAGAAUUAUAUGGCGGAAAGCGGCGGACGGGUGAGUAACGCGUGGGAAACCUGCCUUUCACAGAGGGAUAGCCGAAGGAAACUACGAUUAAUACCUCAUAAAGCAAAAGCUUCGCAUGGAGCGAUUGCCAAAGAAUAAUCGGUGAAAGAUGGUCCCGCGUCUGAUUAGUUAGUUGGUAAGGUAGCGGCUUACCAAGGCGACGAUCAGUAGCCGGCCUGAGAGGGUGAACGGCCACAUUGGAACUGAGACACGGUCCAGACUCCUACGGGAGGCAGCAGUGGGGGAUAUUGCACAAUGGGCGAAAGCCUGAUGCAGCAAACGCCCGCGUGAAGGAAGAAGGCUUUC
rnacentral:rRNA from 1 species